GACGAACGCUGGCGGCGUGCUUAACACAUGCAAGUCGAACGGAAAGGCCCUGCUUUUGUGGGGUGCUCGAGUGGCGAACGGGUGAGUAACACGUGAGUAACCUGCCCUUGACUUUGGGAUAACUUCAGGAAACUGGGGCUAAUACCGGAUAGGAGCUCCUGCUGCAUGGUGGGGGUUGGAAAGUUUCGGCGGUUGGGGAUGGACUCGCGGCUUAUCAGCUUGUUGGUGGGGUAGUGGCUUACCAAGGCUUUGACGGGUAGCCGGCCUGAGAGGGUGACCGGCCACAUUGGGACUGAGAUACGGCCCAGACUCCUACGGGAGGCAGCAGUGGGGAGUAUUGCACAAUGGGCGGAAGCCUGAUGCAGCAACGCCGCGUGCGGGAUGACGGCCUUCGGGUUGUAAACCGCUUUCGCCUGUGACGAAGCGUGAGUGACGGUAAUGAAUAAAGAAGCACCGGCUAACUACGUG
rnacentral:rRNA from 1 species